rnacentral:rRNA from 1 species
GCUGUGGGGAAUUAAAUGCAGAGUCUGGCCUGCCCAAUGAGUAAAAUUGAAUGGCUGCGGUAAUUUGACCGUGCGAAGGUAGCAUAAUCAAUAGUCUUUUAAUUGAAGGCUGGAAUGAAUGGUCGGACAAGAAAUAAGUUGUCUCUUAGAUAAAUUUUGAAUUUUACUUUUAAGUGAAAAGGCUUAAAUAAUUUGAUGGGACGAUAAGACCCUAUAAAACUUUACUGGAUUUGUAUAUUCCUUUAAUUUAGAUGUAUAAAAAAUAUUUUUACUUCUCUUGUUUUGUUGGGGCGACAGAGAUAUAAAUUCCAUUUUAUAACUGUUUAUCAGAGAAAAUAAUUUUAAUUAGUUUUUGAUCCUAUUAUAUAGAUUAUAAGAAUAAGUUACUUUAGGGAUAACAGCGUAAUUUUUUUUGAGAGUUCUUAUCGACAAAAUUAGUUGCGACCUCGAUGUUGAAUUAAAGUUACCUUUCUGUGUAGGAGCAAUAAGGGUAGGUCUGUUCGACCUUUAAAACU